rnacentral:rRNA from 1 species
GUCGAACGAACCCCUUCGGGGGUUAGUGGCGCACGGGUGCGUAACGCGUGGGAAUCUGCCCCUUGCUUCGGAAUAACAGUUAGAAAUGACUGCUAAUACCGGAUAAUGUCUUCGGACCAAAGAUUUAUCGGCAAGGGAUGAGCCCGCGUAGGAUUAGGUAGUUGGUGGGGUAAAGGCCUACCAAGCCGACGAUCCUUAGCUGGUCUGAGAGGAUGAUCAGCCACACUGGAACUGAGACACGGCCCAGACUCCUACGGGAGGCAGCAGUGGGGAAUUUUGGACAAUGGGCGCAAGCCUGAUCCAGCAAUGCCGCGUGCAGGAUGAAGGCCUUCGGGUUGUAAACUGCUUUUGUACGGAGCGAAAAGGCUUCCACUAAUACUGGGGGCUCAUGACGGUACCGUAAGAAUAAGCACCGGCUAACUACGUGCCAGCAGCCGCGGUAAU